GACGAACGCUGGCGGCGUGCCUAAUACAUGCAAGUCGAACGCAGUGGGGACGGGUGAGUAACACGUGGGUAACCUCCCAUCAGAGGGGAUAACACUUGGAAACAGGUGCUAAACCGAUACUGAUGGAUGGACCGGCGGUUCAUUAGCUAGUGGGUGGGGAAAGGGCCCACCAAGGCCACGAUGCAUAGCCGACCGGAGAGGGUGACCGGCAAAACGGGGACGGAGACACGGCCCAGACUCCUACGGGAGGCAGCAGUAGGGAAUCUUGGGCAAUGGACGAAAGCCUGACCGGGCAAGGCCGCGUGAGUGAAGAAGGUUUUCGGAUGGUAAGACCCUGUUGUUAGAGAAGCGGUAUCUAACCAGAAAGCCACGGCUAACUACGUGCCAGCAGCCGCGGUAAUAC
rnacentral:rRNA from 1 species